rnacentral:rRNA from 1 species
ACGUGGACAAUCUAACCUAAGGUGGGGGAUAACCCCGGGAAACUGGGGAUAAUACCCCAUAGACUAUGGGUGCUGGAAUGCUCUGUAGUUGAAAGGUCCGCCGCCAUAGGAUGAGUCUGCGGCCGAUUAGGUUGUUGUUGGGGUAACGGCCCAACAAGCCUGUAAUCGGUACGGGUUGUGGGAGCAAGAGCCCGGAGAUGGAUUCUGAGACACGAAUCCAGGCCCUACGGGGCGCAGCAGGCGCGAAAACUUUACAAUGCGGGAAACCGUGAUAAGGGAACUCCGAGUGCCCGUAAAAUCGGGCUGUCCACCAGUGCAAAUAACUGGUGAAGAAAGGGCCGGGCAAGACCGGUGCCAGCCGCCGCGGUAAUACCGGCGGCUCGAGUGGUGGCCACUAUUACUGGGCUUAAAGCGUUCGUAGCUGGUCUGUUAAGUCUCUGGGGAAAUCUACUGGCUUAACCAAUAGGCAUCUCAGGGAUACUGGCAGACUAGGGACCGGGAGAGGUGAGGGGUACUCCAGGGGUAGGAGUGAAAUCCUGUAAUCCUUGGGGGACCACCUGUGGCGAAGGCGCCUCACCA